rnacentral:tRNA from 1 species
ACUUGAAUAGCUUAUGUUUUAGAGCGCGACACUGAAGAUGUCGAUGAGGCAUUUAUUUGCCUUUGAGUA